rnacentral:rRNA from 1 species
UAGCGGGAUGCUUUACACAUGCAAGUCGAACGGCAGCGCGAGAGAGCUUGCUCUCUGGGCGGCGAGUGGCGGACGGGUGAGUAAUAUAUCGGAACGUGCGCAGUAGCGGGGGAUAACUACUCGAAAGAGUGGAUAAUACCGCAUACGCCCUACGGGGGAAAGGGGGGGAUCGCAAGACCUCUCACUAUUAGAGCGGCCGAUAUCGGAUUAUAUAGUUGGUGGUAUAAAGGCUCCACAAGGCAACGAUCUAUAGCUCGUGUGAGAGGACUCCCACCCACACUGGGACUGAGACACGGCACAGUCUCCUACGGGAGGCAGCAGUGGGGAAUUUUGGACAAUGGGGGAAGCCCUGAUCCAGCCAUCCCGCGUGUGAGAUGAAGGCCUUCGGGUUGUAAAUUACUUUUGGCAGAGAAGAAAAGGUAUCCCUUAAUACGGGAUACUGGUGACGGCAUUAGCAGAAUAAGCACCGGCUAAAUACGUCCCCGCAGCCGCUGUAAUAUGUAGGGCGCAAGCGUUAAUGAGAAUUUCUGGGUGUAAAGCGUGCGUAGGCGGUUCGGAAUGAAAGAUGAGAAAUCCCAGGUCUCAACCUGGGAAUCACAUUUUUAACUGCCGAGCUAGAGUAGGUCAGAGGGGGGUAGAAUUCCACGUGUAGCAGUGAAAUGUGUAGAUAUGGGGGGGAAUCACGAUGGAGAAGGCAGCUCCCUGGGAUAAUACACACGCUCAGACGAGAAAGCGUGGGGAGCACACAGGAUUAGAUACCCUGGUAGUCCACGCCCUAAACGAUGUCAAAUAGCUGUUGGGGCCGCUAGGCCUUAGUAGCGCAGCUAACGCAGUGCAAG